GGAUGUGAGGGCGAUCUGGCUGCAACAUCUGUCACCCCAUUGAUCGCCAGGGUUGAUUCGGCUGAUCUGGCUGGCUAGGCGGGUGUCCCCUUCCUCCCUCACCGCUCCAUGUGCGUCCCUCCCAAAGCUGCGCGCUCGGUGGAAGAGGACGACAUCCCAAGUAUAGAAGGAGAAAGAGGGAUUUCUUAAGCCCUUAUCUUAAACCCAGGUUUCCUUGAAAGAAAGAAGGGAAAAGAUCACAGGAAGCAGGGUUUUUAAGCCCUUGCCCUAUAAAUGAGGGAAAGGGGAGCCUCGUAAGUUU
rnacentral:snRNA from 11 species